rnacentral:rRNA from 1 species
UAGGAUGCUGGAAUGCACUUAGUCUGAAAACUCCGGUGCCUAAGGAUGAAUCUGCGGACUAUCAGGUUGUAGUCAGGGUAAUGACCUGACUAGCCUAUGACGGAUAUGGGUUGUGGGAGCAAUAACCCAGAGAUGAUAUCUGAGACACGAUAUCAGGCCCUACGGGGCGCAGCAGGCGCGAAAACUUCGCAAUGUGCGAAAGCACGACGAGGGAAUCCCAAGUGCUUGCACGUAAGUGUAAGCUGUUUCUCUGUUUAAAACGCAGAGAGAGUAAGGGCUGGGUAAGACGGGUGCCAGCCGCCGCGGUAAUACCUGCAGCUCAAGUGGUGGCCGUUAUUAUUGGGCCUAAAACGUCCGUAGCCGGUUUAUUAAAUGCCUGGGUAAAUCGGACCGCUUAACGGUUCGAAUUCCGGGUAGACUGAUAAACUUGAGACCGGGAGAAGUUAGAGGUACUCCUGGGGUAGAGGUGAAAUUCUGUAAUCCUAGGGGGACCACCAGUGGCGAAAGCGUCUAACUAGAACGGGUCUGACGGUGAGGGACGAAGCCCUGGGGCGCAAACGGGAUUAGAUACCCCGGUAGUCCAGGGUGUAAACGCUGCUUGCUUGAUGUUAGUCGGGCUCCGAGCCCGAUUAGUGUCGGAGAGAAGUUGUUAAGCAAGCUGCCUGGGAAGUACGGUCGCA